GGUAAAUGUUUCAUGAUAAUGGGUUAGGUAAAUGUUUCAUGAUAAGAAUUUCAUGUCUUCUGUAUUAAAGAAUUAAAUGGAUGAAAUAUGAAGUUUUAUUAAAAGGAAAAGGGGUGAAAAGAACAAAGUUUUGUCCAUCUUUGUUCAUCAUAGCGGAAAGUUAGAGAAGAGAAAGGAGAGGAGAAAGCUCUUGAGUAUUCGGUCAUUAGGAGGAGGAAAAUUGAAGGAAAUCCCCAACCAUAGUGGGCUUGGAGCUGUGAGGGAAUUCGGAGUGGCCACCCGUUCUGAAAUUUUGAUUUUCUUCUGGUGAACUGGAUAUCCUUUUAAUUACGUUUGAGGUUUUGGGCUUUUAAAUGUAAUAAGGCCGCUUAUUUAUUUUUGAUGGUUUUUAUAUGUUUUAUUAAGAUAGGUAAUAUUUAUAUUUAA